rnacentral:rRNA from 1 species
AUUGAACGCUGGCGGCAGGCCUAACACAUGCAAGUCGAGCGAGCGGCGGACGGGUGAGUAAUGUCUGGGAAACUGCCUGAUGGAGGGGGAUAACUACUGGAAACGGUAGCUAAUACCGCAUACCAUCAGAUGUGCCCAGAUGGGAUUAGCUAGUGGGUGGGGUAACGGCUCACCUAGGCGACGAUCCCUAGCUGGGCUGAGAGGGUUACCAGCCACCCUGGGACUGGGACACGGUCCAGACCCCUACGGGAGGCAGCAGUGGGGAAUUUUUGGCAAUUGGCGCAAGCCUGAUGCCGCCAUGCCGCGUGUAUGAAGAAGGGCUUCGGGGUGUAAAACACUUUUGGCGGGGAAGCGGUACCUGCCGAAGAAGCACCGGCUAACUCCGUUGCAGCAGCCGCGGUAAUAC